rnacentral:rRNA from 1 species
GCACAAGCGGUGGAUUAUGUUGUUAAUUCGACGCAACGCGAAGAACCUUACCAGGCCUUGACAUACCGGACAAAACCAUAGAGAUAUGGUGGAGGUUGAAGGAUACAGGUGGUGCAUGGUUGUCGUCAGCUCGUGUCGUGAGAUGUUGGGUUAAGUCCCGCAACGAGCGCAACCCUUAUCAUUAGUUGCUAACAUUCAGUUGAGAACUCUAAUGAGACUGCCAGUGAUAAACUGGAGGAAGGUGGGGAUGACGUCAAAUCAUCAUGCCCCUUAUGACCUGGGUUACACACGUGCUACAAUGGCCGGUACAAAGAGUUGCGAAACUGUGAAGUUAAGCUAAUCUCAUAAAGCCGGUCUCAGUUCGGAUUGUAGUCUGCAACUCGACUACAUGAAGUCGGAAUCGCUAGUAAUCGCGAAUCAGAAUGUCGCGGUGAAUACGUUCUCGAGUCUU